GGGCGUGUGGUCUAGUGGUAUGAUUCUCGCUUUGGGAAGUUCUUCCAGUCAAAUGGUAGUACAAUUCAAAUAUGCGAGAGGCCCUGGGUUCAAUUCCCAGCUCGCCCC
rnacentral:tRNA from 1 species